rnacentral:rRNA from 1 species
GACGGAGGGUGCAAACGUUGUUCGGAAUCACUGGGCAUAAAGAGUACGUAGGCUGCGCGCUAAGUCAGGUGUGAAAUCCCCCGGCUCAACCGGGGAACUGCACCUGAUACUGGCGUGCUCGAGGACGGUAGGGGUGAGUGGAACUCCAGGUGGAGCGGUGAAAUGCGUAGAUAUCUGGAGGAACACCGGUGGCGAAAGCGGCUCACUGGACCGUCUCUGACGCUGAGGUGCGAAAGCUAGGGUAGCAAACGGG